rnacentral:rRNA from 1 species
GAGUUUGAUCCUGGCUCAGAUUGNACGCUGGCGGCAGGCCUAACACAUGCAAGUCGAGCGGAAACGAGUUAACUGAACCUUCGGGGAACGUUAACGGCGUCGAGCGGCGGACGGGUGAGUAAUGCCUGGGAAAUUGCCCUGAUGUGGGGGAUAACCAUUGGAAACGAUGGCUAAUACCGCAUAAUAGCUUCGGCUCAAAGAGGGGGACCUUCGGGCCUCUCGCGUCAGGAUAUGCCCAGGUGGGAUUAGCUAGUUGGUGAGGUAAUGGCUCACCAAGGCGACGAUCCCUAGCUGGUCUGAGAGGAUGAUCAGCCACACUGGAACUGAGACACGGUCCAGACUCCUACGGGAGGCAGCAGUGGGGAAUAUUGCACAAUGGGCGCAAGCCUGAUGCAGCCAUGCCGCGUGUAUGAAGAAGGCCUUCGGGUUGUAAAGUACUUUCAGCAGUGAGGAAGGUGGGUAUGUUAAUAGCAUACUCAUUUGACGUUAGCUGCANAAGAAGCACCGGCUAACUCCGUGCCAGCAGCCGCGGUAAUACGGAGGGUGCGAGCGUUUAUCGNAAUUACUGGGCGUAAAAGCGCAUGCAGGUGGUUUUGUUAAAUCAAAAUGUGAACAGCCCGCGNUGCUCANCCNUCNGANAU